AAAAGUAAUAAAGAUAUUUAAGUAUUUUUUCCCUAGCACCAAAUGAAUAGUGUUGCACCAUAUUUGGUGCAAUACUAUUCAUAACACCAUUUUGGUGUUACAUUGGAGAAAAGCAUUUUACACUAAAAAUGGUGUAAAAGGUGAUUUGCUGUUAGAUUUAGUGCUACAUUGGAGAUACCCUUAGUGCUAGUUUUAGUGUCACAAUGGAGAUGACUUAAGAUAGGGAUGGCAAUGGGGUGGGGUGGGGUGGGGGUGGGGAGGCCUAUCCCAUUCCCCACCCCAUUAAAAAAUUUUGUCUUCAUUCCCCAAUAAAUUUAGUGGGGUGAGGAUGAGGAAUUCUCACGUGGAGAAUGAUUUUCUCAUCCCCAUCCCAUUUCCCAUUUACUUAUUUUAUAGUAAGUAUAAAUAUAUGAUUUCAGUAACUUAAAAAUUAGAAACUUA
rnacentral:lncRNA from 1 species